AACGCGAAGAACCUUACCUACUCUUGACAUCCAGAGAACUUUCCAGAGAUGGAUUGGUGCCUUCGGGAACUCUGAGACAGGUGCUGCAUGGCUGUCGUCAGCUCGUGUUGUGAAAUGUUGGGUUAAGUCCCGCAACGAGCGCAACCCUUAUCCUUUGUUGCCAGCGGUCAGGCCGGGAACUCAAAGGAGACUGCCAGUGAUAAACUGGAGGAAGGUGGGGAUGACGUCAAGUCAUCAUGGCCCUUACGAGUAGGGCUACACACGUGCUACAAUGGCGCAUACAAAGAGAAGCGACCUCGCGAGAGCAAGCGGACCUCAUAAAGUGCGUCGUAGUCCGGAUUGGAGUCUGCAACUCGACUCCAUGAAGUCGGAAUCGCU
rnacentral:rRNA from 1 species